GAUGAACGCUAGCGGCAGGCUUAAUACAUGCAAGUCGAGGGGCAGCAUGAUUGUAGCAAUACAAUUGAUGGCGACCGGCAAACGGGUGCGGAACACGUACACAACCUCCCAAUAAGUGGGGAAUAGCCCAGAGAAAUUUGGAUUAAUACCCCAUAGUAUAUUGGAGUGGCAUCACUUUGAUAUUAAAGAUUUAUCACUUGAAGAUGGCUGUGCGUCUGAUUAGGUAGUUGGUGAGGGAAUGGCUCACCAAGCCAGCGAUCAGUAACUGGUGUGAGACGACGACCAGUCACCCGGGGACUGAGACAAGGGCCCGACUCCUACGGGAGGCAGCAGUAAGGAAUAUUGGUCAAUGGACGCAAGUCUGAACCAGCCAUGCCGCGUGGAGGAUGAAGGUCCUCUGGAUUGUAAACUUCUUUUAUCUGGGACGAAAAAGGGCCUUUCUAGGUCAACUGACGGUACCAGAUGAAUAAGCACCGGCUAACUCCGUGCCAGCAGCCGCUGUAACAC
rnacentral:rRNA from 1 species